rfam:Rhodococcus pyridinivorans SB3094, complete genome.
CCAUCGACCCCGCGCUGCUGCCUGACCCCCGACCUGGUAGCAACGCGGGGUCUUCGC